rnacentral:rRNA from 1 species
GGGAUAACACUGACGUUCAUGCCCGAAAGCGUGGGUAGCAAACAGGAUUAGACACCCUGGUAGUCCACGCCCUAAACGAUGUCGAUUAGCUGUUGGGCAGCAUGACUGCUUAGUAGCGAAGCUAACGCGUGAAAUCGACCGCCUGGGGAGUACGGUCGCAAGAUUAAAACUCAAAGGAAUUGACGGGGACUCGCACAAGCGGUGGAUGAUGUGGAUUAAUUCGAUGCAACGCGAAGAACCUUACCUGGUCUUGACAUGUACGGAACCCUCCAGAGACGGAGGAGUGCCUUCGGGAGCCGUAACACAGGUGCUGCAUGGCUGUCGUCAGCUCGUGUCGUGAGAUGUUGGGUUAAGUCCCGCAACGAGCGCAACCCUUGUCAUUAGUUGCCAUCAUUAAGUUGGGCACUCUAAUGAGACUGCCGGUGACAAGCCGGAGGAAGGUGGGGACGACGUCAAGUCCUCAUGGCCCUUAUGACCAGGGCUUCACACGUCAUACAAUGGUCGGUACAGAGGGUAGCCAAGCCGCGAGGCGGAGCCAAUCUCACAAAACCGAUCGUAGUCCGGAUUGCACUCUGCAACUCGAGUGCAUGAAGUCGGAAUCGCUAGUAAUCGCAGGUCAGCAUACUGCGGUGAAUACAUUCCCGGGUCUUGUACACACCGCCCGUCACACCAUGGGAGUGGGGGAUACCAG